rnacentral:rRNA from 1 species
UAGGGAAUCUUCCACAAUGGGCGAAAGCCUGAUGGAGCAACGCCGCGUGUGUGAUGAAGGCUUUCGGGUCGUAAAGCACUGUUGUAUGGGAAGAACAGCUAGAAUAGGAAAUGAUUUUAGUUUGACGGUACCAUACCAGAAAGGAACGGCUAAAUACGUGUCAG